AUUGAACGCUGGCGGCAUGCCUUACACAUGCAAGUCGAACGGUCACAGGUCUUCGGAUGCUGACGAGUGGCGAACGGGUGAGUAAUACAUCGGAACGUGCCUAGUAGUGGGGGAUAACUACUCGAAAGAGUGGCUAAUACCGCAUGAGAUCUACGGAUGAAAGCGAGGGACCGCAAGACCUUGUGCUACUAGAGCGGCCGAUGGCAGAUGAGGUAGUUGGUGGGAUAAAAGCUUACCAAGCCGACGAUCUGUAGCUGGUCUGAGAGGACGAUCAGCCACACUGGGAAUGAGACACGGCCCAGAUUCCUACGGUAGGCAGCAGUGGGGAAUUUUGGACAAUGGGCGAAAGCCUGAUACAGCAAUGCCGCGUGCAGGAUGAAGGACUUCGGGUUGUAAACUGCUUUUGUACGGAACGAAAAGCCCCGGGUUAAUACCCUGGGGUCAUGACGGUACCGUAAGAAUAAGCACCGGCUAACUACGUGCCAGCCGCCGCCGUAA
rnacentral:rRNA from 1 species